GAGUGGGGAGAAGAGAGGGACAGAGAGCCUGCUUCUUUAAAGGAGCAAAGCGGGAGAGGAGAGGAGCCGCUUACACAAGUGUAAGCGGCUCCUGUCCGGUUGGUUCCUUUAAAGCAAGCAGGCUCUCUGUCCCUCUCUCCUCCCCACUC
rnacentral:miRNA from 1 species